CAUCAAGCUACGUCAAUGGGGGUUUAUAAAAAUCAGACGAGGUUUCUGAAGCUUCUCUUCGAAACCCUAGGAAGAAGCCCCCAGCUCAAAGAGAAACCCCGAUGUCACCCACAGUCGCGAUACUCAUAAUGCUAGCGAUGGUACUGACAACAACGUUCUGGAGGCAUUUCCGGUGGAGCUAUUGAGCUUUUUUCUCCUUGAGUGUCAGGCUGCUAACGAUGUGUGGAUUUCUUCGCUCGAGUUAGAAUCCGUGAAAGUGUUGUACUUUAUCGGGUUUGGGAAAUGACGACAAGCUACAGAAAACGUUCAGAGGCAGCUGCUAUGCUGAACUUAUUAUUUGCACGUCAGUCUGAUCCCUUGUUAACGUUAUAAUUCUCAUUUCCAUGUUUCUAAAUGUUAAGACUUGUCGUUGGCUUGUUACUUUUAUUGUUUUUUGAACAUUCACAAUGAAAAAGAUAUUUAUCCUUUCAUGUUUUCUUAUUUUCUUAGCUCCAAAAUCUUUUAUGUUUUGGAAUGAGAAAUGUGUUGUGCAUCCAAGCGACUAUUUUACUUCAUUGAGUUUGGGAAAUGAUGACAAGCUACAGUAUACUUUCAGAGGCAUUUGCUAUGCUGAACUUGUUAUUUGCACGUCAGUCUGAUCCCUUGUUGUUAAUCUUAUAUUUCUCGUUUCCAAGCUUCUAAAUCUUAAGACUUGUAGCUACUUUGCUCCUCCUACCCGGAAAAGUUACAUGCCACUUAAGCCAUUUGGUUGA